UCAACCUGGUUGAUCCUGCCAGUAGUCAUAUGCUUGUCCUAAAGAUUAAGCCAUGCAUGUGUACGUUCAAGCCCUUGUACGGUGAAACUGCGGAUGGCUCAUUAUAUCAGUGAUAAUUUGGUUGAUGGAGAGAUAUCGUGGAUAACCGUGGUAAUUCUAUGGCUAAUACAUGUGGAGCAGACGCAAGUCUGGCA
rnacentral:rRNA from 1 species